rnacentral:rRNA from 1 species
AGAACAAUGUACAAAUGUUAUCGAUAAACAAUUGGAGGGCAAGUCUGGUGCCAGCAGCCGCGGUAAUUCCAGCUCCAAUAGCGUAUAUUAACGUUGUUGCAGUUAAAAAGCUCGUAGUUGAAAUGUGGGAUGAAGUAUAUGAUGAAUUUAAUAUUCAAUUAUAUAUUGAUUCCCCUCUCCAAUUUAUUAUUAUGGGUAUUAAUUUAUUUGUAAUAAGAAUUGGUCAUUUACUGUGAGAAAAUUAGAGUGUUCAAAGCAGGCAUUUGCUUGAAUAGAUUAGCAUGGAAUAAUACUAAAAGGCUUUUAUGGUCGAUUUAAUUGGUUUGUUCAUAAAAGCAAGAUUAAAAGGAACAGUUGGGGGUAUUC